AUUGAACGCUGGCGGCAGGCCUAACACAUGCAAGUCGAACGAGUGGCGGACGGGUGAGUAAUGUCUGGGAAACUGCCUGAUGGAGGGGGAUAACUACUGGAAACAGUAGCUCAUACCGCAUACCAUCAGAUGGUCCCAGAUGGGAUUAGCUAGUUGGUGGGGUAACGGCUCACCAGGGCGACGAUCCCUAGCUGGUCUGAGAGGAUGACCAGCCACAUUGGAACUGAGACACGGUCCAGACUCCUACGGGAGGGAGCAGUGGGGAAUAUUGCACAAGGGGCGCAAGCCUGAUGCAGCCAUGCCGCGUGUAUGAAGAAGGCCUUCGGGUUGUAAAGUACUUUCAGCGGGGAGGCGUUACCCGCAGAAGAAGCACCGGCUAACUCCGUGCCAGCAGCCGCGGUAAUUC
rnacentral:rRNA from 1 species